UACGAAGGGGGCUAGCGUUGCUCGGAAUCACUGGGCGUAAAGCGCACGUAGGCGGCUCGUUAAGUCAGGGGUGAAAUCCUGGAGCUCAACUCCAGAACUGCCUUUGAUACAGCACGUCUCGAGUCCGGAAGAGGUGGGUGGAAUUCCUAGUGUAGAGGUGAGAUUCGUAGAUAUUAGGAAGAACACCGGUGGCGAAGGCGGCCCACUGGUCCGGUACUGACGCUGAGGUGCGAAAGCGUGGGGAGCAAACAGG
rnacentral:rRNA from 1 species